UUGGAAAAGCUUAUCCAUAUACAGGUUG
rnacentral:piRNA from 1 species